GUUUUAUUGAAUUAAUCCUAUAUUUUUCAGGCCACAGCAACCACCAUAAAGGUAUGGCCCAAACUGUCAGAUGAUAUUAUUCAGCAUUCCUCUGCUCAUCCCAUAUCCUUCAGAGAAGAAGAAACUGCAUGUGUGUGUGUGCACACGAACGUUCUCCCAGAAAGAAUUCCUUCUCCUUACCCACUGUUCUACUCCCGAAUUCCACCCCUCCUGACUCCUCCACCUCGCCCCCCAGUCCCCUGGAACAAAGAAGGGGAAGACUGAAUGGGAUUUGGAGUUUUCCUGCUGAGAAAGGGACAUUUUCUACAACCAGAGCUUAAUGAGACUCGGCUAAUGUGACCUUUGGAACCAUCAAACUGUGGAGGAGAAAGCCCAGCAGAGAAGACUGACCUCUGGGUUAUCUUUGUGUACUAAAGCCUUUUGAAAAGUCAGAGCACCAGGCUUUUGGCAGCGAUUUCACAAAUUUAAUUACCCACAGAUAUUCACCAGUAUCCUCAAAGAUUGACAGCUGAAAUUAGACAGCUGAUUCUGUUACAUCCACUCCCUAUUAUCAAUGGUGCUAAACAGCAAAGUGAAAAAAAGGUUUAAUAUUGUUUGUCCUUUAUCCUGAGAAGACUGAUGGCACAGUAAGAAUUCUCAAGGGUGAUCUGAAGAUCCAUUUUCAUUCCUCUGGAAAACUGUUAAGAACAAUUUUUAUUUCCAAGUCAAUAUUCAUAAAACCAGAGAAUGUCAGGGCUGGAAAUGACAUGUGGUAUCAUGUGAUUCAGCCCCCUUAGAUGACGGAUGAAGAAACUGAGGCCCAGAGACUGUAAGUGAUUCACCUGAGGGCAAAUAGCUAGUUGAGGGGUACCUGGCUGGCUCAGUCGGUACAGUGUAUGACUCCUGAUCUCAGGGUUGUGAGUUCGAGCCCACACCAGGUGUAGACAUUACUUAAAUAAAUAAAACUUAAAAAAAUAGCUGAUUGAUAGGCUGAAAUUACACUUCAAGUCUUCUGAUGCCUGCUCUAUCUACUCAUUUCAUAGGGCAUAUACCUCUGCCAAUCUUAACCAAUGUUUAAACGGAAUGUGAGAAGAUCAGUAUCAUUCCUAGAACAGUGAGGUAUCAGGAAUGAGACCUAGGGGAAUAUUUUUUUUUUUUUUUUUAAGAUUUAUUUUUUUAUUUAUUUGAGAGAGCGAGAAUGAGAGAGAGA